GCUAAUACCGCAUACCAUCUACGGGUGAAAGCGGGGGAUCUUCGGACCUCGCGCGAUYGAAUGAGCCGAUAUCGGAUUAGCUAGUUGGYGGGGUAAAGGCCCACCAAGGCGACGAUCCGUAGCUGGUCUGAGAGGAUGAUCAGCCACACUGGAACUGAGACACGGUCCAGACUCCUACGGGAGGCAGCAGUGGGGAAUAUUGGACAAUGGGCGCAAGCCUGAUGCAGCCAUACCGCGUGGGUGAAGAAGGCCUUCGGGUUGUAAAGCCCUUUUGUUGGCAAGAAAGCCAGCUGGCUAAUACCCGGACGGAAAAAAUGUACCCAAAGAAUAAGCACCGGCUAACUUCGUGCCAGCAGCCGCGGUAAUACCAAGGGUGCAAGCGUUACUCGGAAUUACUGGGCGUAAAGCGUGCGUAGGUGGUCUGUUAAGUCCGAUGUGAAAGCCCUGGGCUCAACCUGGGAACUGCAUGGGAUACUGGACGACUAGAGUGUGGUARGGGGUAGCGGAUUUCCUGGGGAAGGAGUGAAAWAGCGUAGAGGAUUACGAGGAAUCAUCCWGGGCGAAGGGGCUACCUGUACCAACACUGGACACU
rnacentral:rRNA from 1 species